rnacentral:rRNA from 1 species
GAUGAACGCUGACAGAAUGCUUAACACAUGCAAGUCUUUGGCGAAGCUGUGCUUGCACAGCCUAGCCAAGGCGGACGGGUGAGUAACGCGUAAGGAACUUGCCCUGCAGUCAGGGAUAACAGACGGAAACGACUGAUAAGACCUGGUAAAGUCAGGCGGACUUAUGUCCAGCCUGAUGAAAAGAGAUGCUGCAGGAGAGCCUUGCGUCCUAUUAGCUUGUUGGUGGGGUAACGGCCCACCAAGGCGAUGAUAGGUAGCCGGCCUGAGAGGGUGGACGGCCACAAGGGGACUGAGAUACGGCACUUACUCCUACGGGAGGCAGCAGUGGGGAAUAUUGGACAAUGGGGGCAACCCUGAUCCAGCAAUUCUGUGUGCACGAUGAAGGUUUUCGGAUUGUAAAGUGCUUUCAGCAGGGAAGAAAAAAAUGACGGUACCUGCAGAAGAAGCGACGGCUAAAUACGUG